GGGCGUGUGGUCUAGUGGUAUGAUUCUCGCUUUGGGUGUGCGAGAGGCCCUGGGUUCAAUUCCCAGUAUGCCCC
rnacentral:tRNA from 1 species